rnacentral:rRNA from 1 species
GACGAACGCUGGCGGCGUGCUUAACACAUGCCAGUCGAACGGAAAGGCCCUGCUUUUGUGGGGUGCUCGAGUGGCGAACGGGUGAGUAACACGUGAGUAACCUGCCCUUGACUUUGGGAUAACUUCAGGAAACUGGGGCUAAUACCGGAUAGGAUCUCCUGCUGCAUGGUGGGGGUUGGAAAGUUUCGGCGGUUGGGGAUGGACUCGCGGCUUAUCAGCUUGUUGGUGGGGUAGUGGCUUACCAAGGCUUUGACGGGUAGCCGGCCUGGGAGGGUGACCGGCCACAAUGGGACGGAGAUACGGCCCAGACUGCUACGGGAGGCAGCAGUGGGGAAUAUUGCACAAUGGGCGGAAGCGUGAUGCAGAAACGCAGCGUGCGGGAUGACGGCCUUCGGGUUGUAAACCGCUUUCGCAUGUGACGAAGCGUGAGUGACGGUAAUGGGUAAAGAAGCACCGGCUAACUACGUG